rnacentral:rRNA from 1 species
GACGAACGCUGGCGGCGUGCUUAACACAUGCAAGUCGAACGCUGAAGCUCAGCUUUUGUUGGGUGGAUGAGUGGCGAACGGGUGAGUAACACGUGAGUAACCUGCCCCCUUCUUUGGGAUAACGCCCGGAAACGGGUGCCAAUACUGGAUAUUCACUGGUCUUCGCAUGGGGGUUGGUGGAAAGGGUUUUUCUGGUGGGGGAUGGGCUCGCGGCCUAUCAGCUUGUUGGUGGGGUGAUGGCCUACCAAGGCUUUGACGGGUAGCCGGCCUGAGAGGGUGACCGGUAACAUUGGGACUGAGAUACGGCCCAGACUCCUACGGGAGGCAGCAGUGGGGAAUAUUGCACAAUGGGCGCAAGCCUGAUGCAGCGACGCCGCGUGAGGGAUGGAGGCCUUCGGGUUGUGAACCUCUUUCGCUCAUGGUCAAGCCGCAACAAUGGUUGUGGUGAGGGUAGUGGGUAAAGAAGCGCCGGCUAACUACGUG